GACCUCGCGCGAUUGGAGCGGCCGAUAUCAGAUUAGGUAGUUGGUGGGGUAAAAGCCUACCCAGCCGACGAUCUGUAGCUGGUUUGAGAGGACGACCCGCCCCCCUGGGACUGAGACCCGGCCCCGACUCCUUCGGGAGGCAGCAGUGGGGAAUUUUGGACAAUGGGCGCCAGCCUGAUCCCGCAAUGCCGCGUGCAGGAAGAAGGCCUUCGGGUUGUAAACUGCUUUUGUACGGAGCGAAAAGGCUUCCCCUAAUACUGGGGGCUCCUGUCGAAAGCGUAAGAAUAAGCCCCGGCUAACUACGUGCCAGC
rnacentral:rRNA from 1 species